AUUGAACGCUGGCGGCAUGCUUUACACAUGCAAGUCGAACGGCAGCGCGGGGGCAACCCUGGCGGCGAGUGGCGAACGGGUGAGUAAUGCAUCGGAACGUAUCCUGUAAUGGGGGAUAACGUAGCGAAAGUUACGCUAAUACCGCAUACGCUCGAGAGAGGAAAGUGGGGGAUCGCAAGACCUCACGUUAUAGGAGCGGCCGAUGUCCGAUUAGCUAGUUGGUGGGGUAAAGGCCUACCAAGGCGACGAUCGGUAGCUGGUCUGAGAGGAUGAUCAGCCACACUGGGACUGAGACACGGCCCAGACUCCUACGGGAGGCAGCAGUGGGGAAUUUUGGACAAUGGGCGAAAGCCUGAUCCAGCCAUGCCGCGUGCGGGAAGAAGGCCUCGGUUGUAACGCUUA
rnacentral:rRNA from 1 species